rnacentral:lncRNA from 1 species
AUCAGCACUCUAAUGAUAUCUACGAUAUCUAUGAUAUCUGUAUGUUGCUAGGAUUUUUCUGCAUGGUAUUAUAACCAGCAAAAUCUUUUGUUUUGUUUUGUUUUUAAAGAUUUUUAUUUAUUUAUUCAUGAGACACACAGAGAGAGAGGCAGAGACACAGGCAGAGGGAGAAACAGUGUCCCUGCCGGGAGCCCGAUGUGGGACUCGAUCCAGGGCCCUAGGAUCUCGCCCUGGGCCAGAGGCAGAUGCUCAACUGCUGAGCCACCCAGGUGCCCCAGGAUAAUCAUUUUGGAAAGAAUGUCAGUCAAGUCCAUCUCUGUCACUGAGGAUUUCACUCCGGCGAAUUUUCAGGACAAAGAAAAACCUGUACCAAUCCUCUUUCCUUUUAACCAAAUCUAAUAUGUCCAAAUGCAUUAGUACUCUCUAUUUCCUCCAAAGAUAAUUGGCAGACAUCGAUGUCUCUCCUUUUAAGUAACUGCCAAAGAGUACACUAAAAAGCUCUAGGGAAUCUGGUAAGCCAUUUGUAAUGAUGUCAAUAGGUUUAAAUAUCACACUAACAAUGAAUCACUCUUCCAUUAACAAAAUUAUUUCUAAAACUGCCAUCAUCAUUAUUUCAAUAAAUGUGCAUUUGUUAUAUCA